UCCACAGAGAUAGCAGUUGUUAGCUUAGCUUACAUAUCGGUCUACAGCAACAAAAGUUAGCUUACACCACAACAAGCUAAGCUGCUAAAGGACGCUCCUCUGCAUUUGCUGCACAAAGGGUCUAAUCGGACUUA